rnacentral:rRNA from 1 species
UAGGGAAUCUUCCGCAAUGGACGCAAGUCUGACGGAGCAACGCCGCGUGAGUGAAGAAGGAUUUCGGUUCGUAAAACUCUGUUGUUAGAGAAGAACAGCGCAUAGAGUAACUGUUAUGCGUGUGACGGUAUCUAACCAGAAAGCCACGGCUAACUACGUGCCAGCAGCCGCGGUAAUACGUAGGUGGCAAGCGUUGUCCGGAUUUAUUGGGCGUAACGCGAGCGCAGGCGGUCAAUUAAGUCUGAUGUGAAAGCCCCCGGCUCAACCGGGGAGGGUCAUUGGAAACUGGUUGACUUGAGUGCAGAAGAGGAGAGUGGAAUUCCAUGUGUAGCGGUGAAAUGCGUAGAUAUAUGGAGGAACACCAGUGGCGAAGGCGACUCUCUGGUCUGUAACUGACGCUGAGGCUCGAAAGCGUGGGUAGCAAACAGG